UGCGUGUUGUUUUUGUGGGACUUCGCAGCCAGUCCAACUGCAGGUUUCGGUUUAGAUGCAGGUGCUGUGAAGAGAUUGGUAGGCUGUGGGCCAACACAGACUUGUUCGAUAAGAAGAGACUGAUUUAGCUGGCAGAAGAAAGUGAAAGUAUCUCUAAAUAAGGGACGGAGGCGACAUUACUGCCUUUUCAGACGGUUUAGAAAUGAUUUAUUGUUAUUUCCUCGCCGUUUGGAUCCUUACCUCCUCGACAGUUGCUGGAAAACAGAAAACACAAUAUGGACUCGUGGGUGAGACAGUCAACUUCAGGACAGAUAUCAGAGACCGCCUUGAUGACAUUCUGUGGAAACACAAUGGGAAUAAAGUGGUACAAUUUGAUGGCAAAGAGCAAAUUGAAUACAGUCAAUUUCAAAAGAGGGUCACCCUCGACUGGGGCUCUGCAGACCUGGAAAUCAACCAACUAACACACAGUGACAGUGGACAAUAUGAAUUGGAUGCGGGAAAGGAAAGUGGUGUUAUUCGUCUUAACUUUGAAUUGAAGGUCCUAGACACAGUGACCAAGCCCACCAUAACCUGUAACAUGAGCGAUGGCAGCAGCUCUGACAAAUCAGGAAGUGAAGCCACACUGAAGUGCUCUGCACACUCAUCACAAUCCUUAAACUACACGUGGAGCCAACCUGGAAAAAUUCAGCCUGGCCAGAUAUUAUCGAUACCUCUAGGGACAGAACAUGAUGAUAAAGUAUACAGCUGUACUGCAAGCAACCAAUUGUCCAAAGAAAUAGCUACAUUCACUGCAAAGGAUUGCUACCCUGUUGGAGCCUCAACAGGACUCAUUACUGGACUGAUUAUUGGCGUGAUAGCACUACUCUUGUGUGUUUUGGGUGCAGUGUUCUGUGCAGUAAAGCAUAAAGCAAAAAAGGAGAAAACCGCUGCGGAACAGCCACAUAGUGAUCAUGAAUCUGAUCAACCAUCAGACCCUCUUCUUCAUAGAAGAGAAACAAGGCCCUCUUCCCAAAAGCUUCACCAUCCGGAAGAAACUUUGAAGAAUAGCAAUUCUGAUCACAAAGAUGAAAAACACAAGAAGUUGGACCGACACACUGGAAAAGUGAAGAAGAUGGUUCAAAACAUUGAACAAGGACAGAUAGAUCCAGUCUCUAUAGAAAAUGAAGUGGAAGAGAAUAGGAAAAAAGAAGACAGUAAAUCAGAUGACAUGACAAACACCAUUUCUAAACAGACAGAGUCAGAGAAAAGGGUAGAUGAGCAAACAUCGGUUUCACUUGAAAAUGGUAUUUGGCCAUCUGCAGUCCAGCCAAAUUCUCCUUUGAACGACGAGGCACCUGUUGCUGCGGAAGAUGUCAACUCACAACAGGCCCCUGGAAUAAAGAAAGAAAAUCAAUCAAUUGGCUCAGGUGUGGAAAACAACAAAGAUGAGCCCAAAAAAGUUAAGCCUGUUGUGCCUGUAAAGUCUUUUAAAAUCAGAAAAGGACAAGCUAAUAUAAAUCCAGCCAGAGAAGAAGAACACAGUGGGGCCACAGAAUCUGGUCUGCAAUCAUCCACUGCUCCUAAAAAUCCAGGAUCAGAGCAACAGGAAGAUGAGGAACCAAAGGGUUCUACUGAAAAUGGUUCUUCAGCAAACCAGCCAAGUUCAUCUUCGAUCAACAAGCCACCUGUUGUUGGGGAAGAUGUCAGCUCAGAACAGGUCACAGAAGAAAAAGAAAAGGAAUCAGAUGACAAGACAAAGAAGGAAGAUCCACCGACCGUUCCUGAUCAAACAGGAUCAGAGCAACAGGAAGAUGAGGAACCAAAGGGUUCUACUGAAAAUGGUUCUUCAGCAAACCAGCCAAGUUCAUCUUCGAUCAACAAGCCACCUGUUGUUGGGGAAGAUGUCAGCUCAGAACAGGUCACAGAAGAAAAGAAAAGGAAUCAGAUGACAAGACAAAGAAGGAAGAUCCACCGACCGUUCCUGAUCAAACAGGAUCAGAGCAACAGGAAGAUGAGGAACCAAAGGGUUCUACUGAAAAUGGUUCUUCAGCAAACCAGCCAAGUUCAUCUUCGAUCAACAAGCCACCUGUUGUUGGGGAAGAUGUCAGCUCAGAACAGGUCACAGAAGAAAAAGAAAAGGAAUCAGAUGACAAGACAAAGAAGGAAGAUCCACCGACCGUUCCUGAUCAAACAGGAUCAGAGCAACAGGAAGAUGAGGAACCAAAGGGUUCUACUGAAAAUGGUUCUUCAGCAAACCAGCCAAGUUCAUCUUCGAUCAACAAGCCACCUGUUGUUGGGGAAGAUGUCAGCUCAGAACAGGUCACAGAAGAAAAGAAAAAGAAAAGGAAUCAGAUGACAAGACAAAGAAGGAAGAUCCACCGACCGUUCCUGAUCAAACAGGUGUGGAAAACAACAAAGAUGAGCCCAAAAAAGUUAAGCCUGUUGUGCCUGUAAAGUCUUUUAAAAUCAGAAAAGGACAAGCUAAUAUAAAUCCAGCCAGAGAAGAAGAACACAGUGGGGCCACAGAAUCUGGUCUGCAAUCAUCCACUGCUCCUAAAAAUCCAGACUUGGUGAAAAAAGCAGAUGACGACCAAAUGUCUGCUCCUGAAAAUAAUGCCUCUCUGUCAGCUGCAGAGCCGCUUUCAUCUUUG